rnacentral:rRNA from 1 species
GAAGGUGUGCUGUGAGGCAUGCUGGAGGUAUCAGAAGUGCGAAUGCUGACAUAAGUAACGAUAAAGCGGGUGAAAAGCCCGCUCGCCGGAAGACCAAGGGUUCCUGUCCAACGUUAAUCGGGGCAGGGUGAGUCGACCCCUAAGGCGAGGCCGAAAGGCGUAGUCGAUGGGAAACAGGUUAAUAUUCCUGUACUUGGUGUUACUGCGAAGGGGGGACGGAGAAGGCUAUGUUGGCCGGGCGACGGUUGUCCCGGUUUAAGCGUGUAGGCUGGUUUUCCAGGCAAAUCCGGAAAAUCAAGGCUGAGGCGUGAUGACGAGGCACUACGGUGCUGAAGCAACAAAUGCCCUGCUUCCAGGAAAAGCCUCUAAGCAUCAGGUAACAUCAAAUCGUACCCCAAACCGACACAGGUGGUCAGGUAGAGAAUACCAAGGCGCUUGAGAGAACUCGGGUGAAGGAACUAGGCAAAAUGGUGCCGUAACUUCGGGAGAAGGCACGCUGAUAUGUAGGUGAAGCGACUUGCUCGUGGAGCUGAAAUCAGUCGAAGAUACCAGCUGGCUGCAACUGUUUAUUAAAAACACAGCACUGUGCAAACACGAAAGUGGACGUAUACGGUGUGACGCCUGCCCGGUGCCGGAAGGUUAAUUGAUGGGGUUAGCGCAAGCGAAGCU